rnacentral:rRNA from 1 species
UACGAAGGGUGCAAGCGUUACUCGGAAUUACUGGGCGUAAAGCGUGCGUAGGCGGUUUGUUAAGUCCGUUGUGAAAGCCCUGGGCUCAACCUGGGAAUUGCAGUGGAUACUGGCGAGCUAGAGUGCGGUAGAGGAUGGUGGAAUUCCCGGUGUAGCGGUGAAAUGCGUAGAGAUCGGGAGGAACACCCGUGGCGAAGGCGACUUCCUGGCCUGUUCUUGACGCUGAGGCGCGAAAGCUAGGGUAGCAAACGGG